UGAUCUACAAAGCUGCUUUACACUAAAGGUUAAAUUACAAGACUUGGUUAAAGGAGAGUUUAUCUUUCAAUAAAUUUUGUCUCAAUGUCGAUAACAAUCCUUUGGCAAAGUAGGGUGAGUGAGAACUGGGCCAGAGCAUGAUAAGCCACCUCCUAAAGCUAGUGGAUCAGAUGGGAAAGCUCAUCCUCGAUGUUGAUUAGUCACUAGGCCUU
rnacentral:lncRNA from 1 species